rnacentral:rRNA from 1 species
UGGGGAAUAUUGCACAAUGGGCGCAAGCCUGAUGCAGCCAUGCCGCGUGUGUGAAGAAGGCCUUCGGGUUGUAAAGCACUUUCAGCGAGGAGGAAGGUGGUGAGCUUAAUACGCUCAUCAAUUGACGUUACUCGCAGAAGAAGCACCGGCUAACUCCGUGCCAGCAGCCGCGGUAAUACGGAGGGUGCAAGCGUUAAUCGGAAUUACUGGGCGUAAAGCGCACGCAGGCGGUUUGUUAAGUCAGAUGUGAAAUCCCCGGGCUCAACCUGGGAACUGCAUUUGAAACUGGCAAGCUAGAGUCUCGUAGAGGGGGGUAGAAUUCCAGGUGUAGCGGUGAAAUGCGUAGAGAUCUGGAGGAAUACCGGUGGCGAAGGCGGCCCCCUGGACGAAGACUGACGCUCAGGUGCGAAAGCGUGGGGAGCAAAACAGGAUUAGAUACCCUGGUAGUCCACGCUGUAAACGAUGUCGAUUUUGGAGGUUGUGCCCUUGAGGCGUGGCUUCCGGAGCUAACGCGUUAAAUCGACCGCCUGGGGAGUACGGCCGCAAGGUUAAAACUUAAAUGAAUUGACGGGGUC